CCCUAGGCCUCCGCCAACCAGCUCCAUGGCGCCGCGGCGCCCGCCGCCGGAGUUGAUCAACGACGCCAUCGGAGAGAUCCUCCUCCGCCUCCCACCGGACGAGCCCGAGUGCCUGUUCCGCGCCUCCCUCGUCUGCAGGCCCUGGCGCCGCAUCCUCACCGACGCCGCCUUCCUCCGCCGGUACCGCCGCUUCCACAAAACACCUCCGCUGCUCGGGCUCUUCUUCAUCGGUAACGACCGUGUCCAAACUGAAACCCUCCCUCGCUUCGUUCCCACCACAUCAGCCUCCCCGUUCCCCCAGCCUAUGAUGAGCUGCCGCCCCUGGGUCGCCAUCGACUGUCGCCAUGGGCGUGUUCUCCUUCAAAAGAUGAAGGGGGGCAGAUUCAUUGUCUGGGACCCAAUCACCGGUGUCCGGAGGGAGCUGGACCACCCCUGCAUCCCGUUCGAGUCCUUCUCUCUUUCGUUGCUCUGCGCCGUGCCCGGGUGCGACCACCUCGACUGCCACGGCGGCCCAUUCCUCGUCGUCUGGGUGUGCACUGAUGAUGUUGAGGGCACGGAGGGGCACCUGGCGCGGGCGUGCGUGUACUCAUCGCAAGUGGGUUCCUGGGGCACGUCGGUUUCUGUUCCCAUAGGUCUUUUUGAUUUCAUGAACCAGAGUCGUGCUGCACUUGCUGGAGACGGUGUCUACUUCAUGCUUGGGACGGGUGAUAGGAUCCUUGAGUAUAACUUGGUCAAGCAUGGCUUGUCUGUCAUUGAUACCCCGGAAGCGAACGAGAAGGGCUUUUUAAUUGUGCCAACUGAGGAUGGUUUGCUUGGGGUUGCCGCCAUCAAGGGUACCAGCCUUUACCUGUGGUCGAGGAAGGUGAAUGCAGAGGGGGUUGAAGGAUGGACGCAAUACAGGGUGAUCGAGCUACAGCCUCUGUUACCAGAUGUCAAGCUUUUACAUGAGGCUAUUGUGAUUGCUUUUGCUGAGGGUGUCCGUGCCAUCUUCCUGGACACAUCUAGUGGUAUCUGCAUUAUUGACCUCAACUCAGAGCAGGCGAGGACGGUAAGCGAACCUGGGACCCACUAUGUGGUUGUACCCUUCACGAGCUUCUACACACUGGAUUGUGCCUGCGGGAAAUUGCCAUUACCAGCAAAGACAAAUGAAUCGUUGGCAAGCUAAAUCCUCUGUUGUUGCCUUGUUGGACCAUGUUGUGGGCUGAUGCUUUGAAGGUUAUUAGUACUCUGUUGAGUAUAAUCUUGUAAUGUAUUACAGCAGAGUUACAAACUUACAAUCAAGCUUGCUGAGUAGAUUGAUCUUUAAAUAAAAAUGAUAAUGGCUUGGAGUGUUGGCAUUCACCGGCUACAGUUCAUACGAUGAUAAGUUGAUCUUCUACAUUUUUCUUGAAUCUGUUUCAUGUUGUCACAGCUAAAACAUUGUACAAUUGUAAUGUCAUCAUGGUAGCAUCUCAUGUGUCAUAUUGCUCUUACUUUAGUUGAAAUGGAAAUAAGUGAUACAAUAUGCUUGAGAUAAGUGAAGAUGUGACAAUGCCACAUCACACGAACUUUUAUCAGGUUGAACCUAUUUAUGGGGAACAAUCUUGAUAUUCGCAAGAUUUUCUCACAUUAUAAAACACAACCUUUUGAAUUAAACCAACAACCAUUAGCUCAGCCAAUUUAACAGCCUUUUUAGCCUGCACAUUAUUUUACUGUCCUAUUAUAUAUUUGGUGUGAACAAGUUCUAUGGUUUGAUACCAAAAAUAGUAAGCUAUGGAACUAAUUUAGGCAUUGCUACUAUUUCAUAUUAAAUUAGUUCCAUAGCUACUAUUUCAUAUUAAACUUUAGGCAUUGCUACUAUUUCAUAUUACAAAGAUGCCUAUAGUAAGCUAUGGAACUAAUUUAACUUGCAUGCUUGGUACUUUCCAGAUUGUGCUUAUGGGAAAUUGUCAUUACCAGCAGGGGCAAAUCACUGGCAGAGAUAUUUUUUUUGUGGUUGUUUAUGAAUGACGAUGACUAUGUUUGAGAUUCGGGGUUCGUCUUUGAUUAUUAUUGUAUUGAUGGUUGGCGAAAGUCACUUUGAACCGAACAUACUUGGUACACUUUUUGUAAGCAAGUGUCGGUGGAUGGCAUACUGAUUUAAGCUUCUUUUUUUAGACUGAGAGCUUUGUUGCUUAAUUUUAUUUUUUCUAGAACAUUUGGCUACACAGCAUGGUCCAGAGAAUUAGCUCCUCAAAGUUCAUAGAAUUAUAGAAAAGAGGUGCUAUGUAUGUAGGUUGCAUACAGUCGCACAACAUGGAACCUGCAAAACUUUAGAUGACGACCUGAUUGUGAAUUUCGCUGAUACACCAGCUUACUAGCUAACCAGAAAUGUGAAAUGAAAAUCGAUCAGUUGUUUAGCACAGAAGGGUAGAUAUUUUCAGUUAGCGACGUCAGGGAUAGCGAAAACUAUGAAUUGCAUCAAGGCUGGUGACCACACUCAUGUGAAGCCUUUUUCCUUAAGUUAUAUCAUGAGAGUUACUGAUGAAACAUCUCUUUUUUUUAAAAAAAAAGGAAAACAAAUCACGAAUCAUAUGUAUCUGCAUGUUAUCUUGAAAAGUUAUUGUUUCUGCUGUUUGAAUGCAUGUUAUUCUUGAAAAGUUAUUGUUUAUGCUGUUCGAAUGUCUAUCCUGCAUGCUAGUUGUGGUUUUGGAGCACUUGCUGAGUUACAACAGUUAGCAGGGAUACAAUUGACCGUGCUGAUUAGGUUGAUCUGCAUGUAAGAAAUGACAAUAAUGUAGUUUGUAGUGGAGAUUCAGAAGCUUAAGAGUGACGAUGAUAAGUAGACCUGCCUCAUGUUGUAACCUAUUUGAGAUUGGUAUGCACAACUAAAUACUGUUGCUCUUACCUAAAUUCUGUUUGGUCACACUUGCAUUGCAGGUUUGCGGCUUUGGAUAAAAAUGGCUCACUGAAACGAUGAUGAUCAUGGCAGAUUGCCCCAGUGACACGAAGAAUGGCAUCUAUCUGGUGGUGUCGGCAUUUUGUUGGGCUUAUGCUUUGAAAUGUUCAAUAUAGUGCUGGGUAGUUUUAACUUUCGGUAGUGUAAGCCAGCAUGACCAGUUUUGGAUUCAUAUGUUCUGGAUGCCUAUAAUGACCUGAAGACUAUGUACCAUGUCUAAUUAGUUUUAGUUAGGACACUGUUUGCCUUUCAUUGGUGGUUGAUAGUUCCACUUUGGACUGAAGAUAAAUUGUGGUUGUUAUCAGUGAGAACUUACUGUGCUUCAGUUAA